rnacentral:misc_RNA from 1 species
AUUUUUUUGAUAGUGAUCCUUGCAGUCUUGAUCUGAGACAUCACUUCUAGGGCUGCUAUUGGCAUAGUAAUAUGGUGAUUCCAAUGUACUAAUGGUGGGCUUAAUCUCAACCGCACAAGCACCCCAAUUUAGCAUGGAAAGUGCUUUCUCGUAGGAGGAAAGUAUCUUCUCAACAAGGAAUUGACGCGUUUCAGGCGACGAAAUAGAGUUAAGAUGCUUCCUUAGCUGCUCUGCUAGCUCUUUC